CACGUAGGGUGCGAGCGUUGUCCGGAAUUAUUGGGCGUAAAGAGCUCGUAGGCGGUGUGUCGCGUCGGCCGUGAAAACCUGCAGCUUAACUGUGGGCGUGCGGUCGAUACGGGCAUCACUGGAGUUCGGCAGGGGAGACUGGAAUUCCCAGUGUAGCGGUGAAAUGCGUAGAUAUUGGGAGGAACACCAGUGGCGAAGGCGGCUCACUGGACCGGUUCUGACGCUGAGGCGCGAAAGCGUGGGUAGCAAACAGG
rnacentral:rRNA from 1 species